UUAAUUGUAUAUUAUAUUAUUUUAAGGGGUGAAAACAACUAAUUCUAAUUCUAAUUGUAUAUUUUGUUUUGGGUGUAUAUUUUAUAUUGGGUGUAUAAUUUAUAUCGGGUGUACAUUUUAUAUCGGGUGUAUAUUUUAUAUUGGGUGUAUAUUUUAUAUCGGGUAUAUAUUUUAUAUCGGGUGUAUAUUUUAUAUUGGGUGUAUAUUUGAAAUCGGGUAUAUAUUUUAAAUCGGGUGUAUAUUUUAUUUUGGGUGUAUAUUUGAAAUCAGAACCGAUCCCCUGUCGAGCCACACCGAUUAAUAAUUAACCAUUAGGACCCACAACCCGCCCAAGAGGCCGACCUUCGUUGUUGAUUCGGGCUAGACAAGCCGUGGGCCGUGGGAUGGAUAACAUAAGAAGAAGAUAUUGUUGCUUUUGAGCAGGAAUCUUAUUAAAAGAUCCGAGCAAAACCCAAAUUUGAUUUCAACGUGAUGGACAAUCAAGAAAGACAGUGACGCAGUAGCAUCGCUACUCCAGCUGUUGGUGCAUUUAAGCCACCGUUGGAUGGCUACUAUACGUUCUCCGGUCUACCUUUCCUAUCCGUCCGUGACAAUAUCAUACCAACUUUUCUUAUGACUUUUAUCUUAUUUAUCAUUUUCCAAGUUCACAAGUUCACAUGAUGCACGAGUUCACAUAAUAUAGCUGACUUAAGCAGCGACACACGUCUUUUGUAUUUUGCUAAAUUGUUUUGUAUUAUUUUUUAUUUCAUCAUUAUUUUUAUUGCAAUUUUUUCGGUAUUAAUGUUUUUGAUAUUUUUUUAUUAUUGUGUUACUACUUUUACUGUUGUACUAUUUAUUGUUGUAAUAUUUUGUUUAUCUAAUUACCUUACUUAUAUCCUUGUUAGUGUUAAUAAGUUAGAAUAGUUUUUUUUUAAUUCAUUCGCUCACUACAUUUUGCAAGUGUAUCAACUAUUUUUUGUUUUUAUAUUAUACUUUUUUGUGUUAAUAUUUUACACAAUACGGAUUUUAUGUUUUUUCAUGU